UACGUAAGGUCCGAGCGUUGUCCGGAAUCAUUGGGCGUAAAGCGCGCGCAGGUGGUUUAAUAAGUCUGAUGUAAAAGCCCACGGCUCAACCGUGGAAGGUCAUUGGAAACUGUUAAACUUGAGUGCAGGAGAGAAAAGUGGAAUUCCUAGUGUAGCGGUGAAAUGCGUAGAGAUUAGGAGGAACACCAGUGGCGAAGGCUGCUUUUUGGCCUGCAACUGACGCUGAGGCGCGAAAGCGUGGGGAGCAAACAGG
rnacentral:rRNA from 1 species